GCUCAUAUGGUGCAAUGGUAGUACGCUCUGGCUCCGUUGAUGAGAGUAGAGAUUCGUAAUCAGAGAGAGACGGUUCAAUCCCGUCGGUGGGCA